rnacentral:rRNA from 1 species
AACGAACGCUGGCGGCAUGCCUAACACAUGCAAGUCGAACGGGAUCCGGACUUCGGUUCGGUGAGAGUGGCGGACGGGUGAGUUACGCGUGGGAACCUGCCCAGUGGUGGGGGAUAACGUAGCGAAGGUUACGCUAAUACCGCAUACGCACUAAGGUGGAAAGUGGGGGAUCUUCGGACCUCAUGCUCAUGGAGUGGCCGAUAUCUGAUUAGCUAGUUGGUGAGGUAAAGGCUCACCAAGGCGACGAUCAGUAGCUGGUUUGAGAGAACGACCAGCCACACUGGAACUGAGACACGGUCCAGACUCCUACGGGAGGCAGCAGUGGGGAAUUUUGGGACAAUGGGGCAACCCUGAUCCAGCAAUGCCGCGUGAGUGAAGAAGGCCUCGGUUGUAAGACUCUUUGUUCUAGGGAAGAAACGGG